rnacentral:lncRNA from 1 species
UUUACUCAAAUUUGAUAACAAAAAUAUAUGUUUACUUAAAAGGAAUUAAAUUAACUUAUCAGAAGCCCAUUUUUAUAUGGUAAUAACUGUAGAGGCCCAUUUUUAUUCAGCCCAAACGGACCAAAAAUAAAUAAACAAAAAAAAUUAAAACAAAUUAAAAGUUCAGUCCAUUUAUAAGCCCAAUUACCUAAACUACCCAGAAGCCCUAUAGCCCAUUAUCUUAAACGAAAUAUAAAAAAAAAGAUAACCCUAAAAGUUCCUAAGCCUCUAGCCGUCGCCCUCACCACGUC